rnacentral:rRNA from 1 species
GACGUAGGGUCCAAGCAUUAUCCGGAUUUAUUGGGCGUAAAGCGCAUGUAGGUGGUUGCGUAAGUUUGUGGUUAAAGACCCCGGCUCAACCGGGGGAAAGCCAUGAAUACUGCGCGACUAGAGACCAGCAGGGGCAAAUGGAAUUCCAGGUGUAGGGGUGAAAUCCGUUGAUAUCUGGAGGAACACCAGUGGCGAAGGCGAUUUGCUAGGUUGGAUCUGACACUAAGAUGCGAAAGCGUGGGGAGCGAAACGG